CAGUCGCCGCGGUAAUACGAAGGGUGCAAGCGUUAAUCGGAAUUACUGGGCGUAAAGCGUGCAUAGGCGGUUUGUUAAGUCUGUUGUGAAAUCCCCGGGCUCAACCUGGGAAUGGCAAUGGAUACUGGCAAGCUAGAGUGAGUCAGAGGAUGGUGGAAUUCCCGGUGUAGCGGUGAAAUGCGUAGAGAUCGGGAGGAACAUCAGUGGCGAAGGCGGCCAUCUGGGACAACACUGACGCUGAGGCACGAAAGCGUGGGGAGCAAACAGGAUUAGAUACCCCUGUAGUCCCUGUCUCUUAUAC
rnacentral:rRNA from 1 species